GCCCGCUCAGAAACUCAAAUGAAUUGACGGGGGCCCGCACAAGCGGUGGAGUAUGUGGUUUAAUUCGAUGCAACGCGAAGAACCUUACCUGGUCUUGACAUCCCGGAGACCCUUAGGAAACUAGGGGGUGCUUCCAUCUGGAAGAAUCUGGAGACAGGUGCUGCAUGGCUGUCGUCAGCUCGUGUCGUGAGAUGUUGGGUUAAGUCCCGCAACGAGCGCAACCCUUGCCUUUAGUUGCCAGCAGUUCGGCUGGGCACUCUAAAGGGACUGCCGGUGUUAAACCGGAGGAAGGUGGGGAUGACGUCAAGUCCUCAUGGCCUUUAUGACCAGGGCUACACACGUACUACAAUGGCCGAUACAAAGGGCAGCGACACUGCGAGGUGAAGCCAAUCCCGUAAAAUCGGUCUCAGUCCGGAUUGGAGUCUGCAACUCGACUCCAUGAAGUUGGAAUCGCUAGUAAUCGUGGAUCAGCAUGCCACGGUGAAUACGUUCCCGGGCCUU
rnacentral:rRNA from 1 species